ACAUGCAUGACAUGUGUCGUGUGUCAUCAUGGAAGCGAAACUGCGUGGUUCAAUGCUGUUGUUUGUUUAUUGAAAACCGGCUGUUAGAUUGCUGGAAACUUUAUAAUCAUGUGAAGGUUUCCCUAACGUAAUCGGUGCUUUGGACUGCACACAGAUAAAGAUUCAAGCCCCAUCUCAAUUUGAGGAUGUUUAUGUCUGUCGCAAAUCCAUUCACAGCAUCAAUGUUCAGAUGAUAUGUGAUGCUGAUCGCAUUGCCACAAACCUUGUAGCCAAAUGGCCGGGAAGUGUUCACGACAGUCGAAUAUUCAAGGUGUCGUCCAUUGGCCGAGAACUUGCUAACCAAGGUAAUUCAGACAUGUGUGAUACCCACUAAAAACAAGUAAUUUAAUAGAUAGAUAAAUAAUUUAAUUGGAACUUUAUCAACAUUUAUAACUAA